UGGGGGAUAUUGCGCAAUGGGGGCAACCCUAACGCAGCAACGCCGCGUGAAGGAUGAAGGUUUUCGGAUUGUAAACUUCUUUUAUUAAGGACGAAACUUGACGGUACUUAAUGAAUAAGCUCCGGCUAACUACGUGCCAGCAGCCGCGGUAAUACGUAGGGAGCAAGCGUUGUCCGGAUUUACUGGGUGUAAAGGGUGCGUAGGCGGCUUUGCAAGUCAGAUGUGAAAUCUAUGGGCUCAACCCAUAAACUGCAUUUGAAACUGUAGAGCUUGAGUGAAGUAGAGGCAGGCGGAAUUCCCCGUGUAGCGGUGAAAUGCGUAGAGAUGGGGAGGAACACCAGUGGCGAAGGCGGCCUGCUGGGCUUUAACUGACGCUGAGGCACGAAAGCGUGGGUAGCAAACAGGAUUAGAUACCCUGGUAGUCCACGCUGUAAACGAUGAUUACUAGGUGUGGGGGGUCUGACCCCUUCCGUGCCGGAGUUAACACAAUAAGUAAUCCACCUGGGGAGUACGGCCGCAAGGUUGAAACUCAAAGGAAUUGACGGGGGCCCGCACAAGCAGUGGAGUAUGUGGUUUAAUUCGAAGCAACGCGAAGAACCUUACCAGGUCUUGACAUCCAACUAACGAAGUAGAGAUACAUUAGGUGCCCUUCGGGGAAAGUUGAGACAGGUGGUGCAUGGUUGUCGUCAGCUCGUGUCGUGAGAUGUUGGGUUAAGUCCCGCAACGAGCGCAACCCUUGCUAUUAGUUGCUACGCAAGAGCACUCUAAUAGGACUGCCGUUGACAAAACGGAGGAAGGUGGGGACGACGUCAAAUCAUCAUGCCCCUUAUGACCUGGGCUACACACGUACUACAAUGGAUGUUAACAGAGGGAAGCAAGACAGCGAUGUGGAGCAAACCCCUAAAAACAUUCUCAGUUCAGAUUGCAGGCUGCAACCCGCCUGCAUGAAGAUGGAAUUGCUAGUAAUCGCGGAUCAGCAUGCCGCGGUGAAUACGUUCCC
rnacentral:rRNA from 1 species